AUUGAACGCUGGCGGCAGGCUUAAUACAUGCAAGUCGAGCGAACCGAUUAAGAGCUUGCUCUUAAGAAGUUAGCGGCGGACGGGUGAGUAACACGUAGGUAACCUGCCUAUAAGACUGGGAUAACUCCGGGAAACCGGGGCUAAUACCGGAUAACAUUUUGCACUGCAUGGUGCGAAAUUGAAAGGCGGCUUCGGCUGUCACUUAUAGAUGGACCUGCGGCGCAUUAGCUAGUUGGUGAGGUAACGGCUCACCAAGGCGACGAUGCGUAGCCGACCUGAGAGGGUGAUCGGCCACACUGGGACUGAGACACGGCCCAGACUCCUACGGGAGGCAGCAGUAGGGAAUCUUCCGCAAUGGACGAAAGUCUGACGGAGCAACGCCGCGUGAGCGAUGAAGGCCUUCGGGUCGUAAAGCUCUGUUGUUAGGGAAGAACAAGUGCUAGUUGAAUAAGCUGGCACCUUGACGGUACCUAACCAGAAAGCCACGGCUAACUACGUGCCAGCCGCCGCGGUAA
rnacentral:rRNA from 1 species